rnacentral:rRNA from 1 species
UACGAAGGGGGCUAGCGUUGCUCGGAAUGACUGGGCGUAAAGGGCGCGUAGGCGGCGCCGCAAGUCGGGCGUGAAAGCCCCGGGCUCAACCCGGGGACUGCGCCCGGGACUGCGGGGCUCGAGGCGAGGAGAGGGCCGCGGAAUUCCCAGUGUAGAGGUGAAAUUCGUAGAUAUUGGGAAGAACACCGGUGGCGAAGGCGGCGGCCUGGCCUCGUACUGACGCUGAGGCGCGACAGCGUGGGGAGCAAACAGG